AAGUGGGAUCCCAGCUGGGACUGCCCCAGAGCACUGGGCUUUGGCCUUGGAUCCCCUGGCGAUCUUCCCCUCUCAGCGACAGGCAGCGAGGAGGAAGAUCAUUGGCUUCUCUUAGGGCCUGUGGCUGGAGGGAAAGUCAAGUUCAGUGCAACAACUGUGACAUAAGGAAUCAGUAGAGUCCAUUUCUCUCUGUGAGGAAUCUUCAGGAACUUAACCACUACAAUAUGUACUGACAUAGUCAGACGUUAACAACGAUGUACUAAUGGCGAAGGGAAAAAAGCAGCGGUUCCUGGUCAAAUCUCCUCUAGAAACUCGAAGAAAGGGAAGGGGCAGGUGGUUUUGUUGGUCUUGUUUUGUUUUGCUUGGCAUGGCUUAAGAGCUGCUCCUUCUGGAGCAGGAAGUGGCCUUGGGCGGCCCAAGCGCUGUGUUACUGGGCUGCGGGCCGGUACUUGGGAAGAAGUCCUCCGCAGUUCAGCAUCCCAGGAUGCAUCUAGCAGAUUUGCUGCCUCAUUUGAGGACUCAGGACACACAGGUCCCUCCACUGCUGUCAGCACAGCUCACCCACACCUGCUACACACCUGUCACUCCUGCAGCACCAACACCCCCCAGAGGAGCCUCCCAGGGGAGAAAAUGGAACCACCAACAGGUUCUCCUAUGAGAGCGUGGAUCCAGAGAAUAUCCCUGAGCUUAUUUCAAAUAUUAGUUCCAAAGGGCUAGAACUGCAGGGCUUAGAACAAUCAAUAUAAAGAUCGUGUUAAAAUCUACUGGAAAAUAUGAUUCAAAUUGCAAAAGCUGAAUUUUCAUAUUCUGCUUAUCAAGAGUGUAUUCAGGGAAUCAUGGGAGAAAAUUUUUGCAAUCUAUCCAUCUAACAAAGGUCUAACAUCCAGAGUCUACAAGGGACUUAAACAAAUUUGUAAGAAAAAAAGAUAAGUGGGCAAAGGACAUGAACAGACACUUCUCAAAAGAAGACAUAUAUGUGGUCAAAAAACAAGUGAAAAAAACCUCAAUAUCACUGAUCAUUAGAGAAAUUCAAAUCAAAACCACAAUAAUGUACCUUCUCACACUAGUCAGAAUGGCUAUUACUGAAAUGUCAAAAAACAACAGAUGCUGGUGAGGUUGUGGAGAAAAAGGAACACUUUUACACUGUUGGUGGGAAUGUAAAUGAGUUCAACCAUUAUGGAAGACAGCAUCGUGAUUCCUCGAAGACCUAGGGGCAGAAAUACCAUUUGACCCAGCAAUCCCUCUACUGGGUAUGUACCCAAAGGAACAUAAAUCAUUCUAUUAUAAAGAUACAUGCACACGUAUGUUCACUGCAGCACUAUUCACAAUAGUAAAGACGUGGGAUUAACCUGAAUGCUCAUCAGUGACAGACUGGAUAAAGAAAAUGUAUAUAUAAACCAUGGAAUACUAUGAAGCCAUAAAAAGGAAUAAGAUCAUGUCCUUUGCAGGGACACGGAUGGAGUUGGAAGCCAUUAUUCUCAGCAAACUAAUGCAGGAACAGAAAACCAAACACUGCAUGUUCUCACUUAUUAGUGGGAGCUGAAUGAUGAGAACACAUGGACACUUGGGAGGAGCAACACACACUGGGGCCUGUUGUGGGUAAGUCAUGGAGGGAGAGCAUCAGGAAGAAUAGCUAAUGGAUGCUGGACUUAACACCUAGGUGAUGGGAUGGUCUGUGCAGCAAACCACCAUGGCACACAUUUACCUAUGUAACAAACCUGCACAUUCUGCACAGGUACCCCAAACUUAAAAGUUGAAAAAAAAAAUCAAGGUGUAGUUCACCCUUCCCCUGCCCCCCACUGCAAAAUAAAAGAGCAUAUUCAGGGGAUCUUUAGAAUUUAGAGAGACUUUCAAAAGCUGCUUAGUACAAUAACAUUUAUUGCAUAAAGUGAAGCAUAAAUAUUGGCAUUGUGACUGUGGACUAUUAAAAACGUACCCAAGUAAGCUGUGAAUUUGGUUUCAGAAUUCUAAAUUAAGUAGCUUUGAAUGAGAUUUCUCCUAAAGCAUUGGUUGUGUAUUAUAUGCAGGAAGUCAUUGGUUAGUUUUCUUCACAUUUUAUCUAUUUACCCUUAUUCUGCUGUAU
rnacentral:lncRNA from 10 species